AAUGAAUUUCCUUAACCUAUUUCCAACAGUUAUGAGGAAAGAGCAUUAUAUCUUGAUGCAAUAAUCCAGAAUCACAAAGAACUACUGACAUUUGAGGAUUUUGCUGCUCAGGUCUUCUCUCCCUCUCCCAGUUAUUCCCGUAGUGGAUGUGAUUAAAAUAUGUAAUGAUCUCGUUACGGUAAUUGAGAAAGGCAUUAUUACUACAAGUUUGAGUGCUGAUCUUACUGCACCUGUAAAGACAGAAUAAACAGAGCAGAUUUCACCAAUACUAGCAACUGUCAGAAAAAAACCCCAAGUUUCUGGAAAGUUGUACUGAUUGGCCAGUACUCUCAGUAAAUCUUCAAGUUAAACAUUUUGGAAAUUUGAAAUAAUUGAAGAAACCUACGCUGUCAUCUGCUGUAUCUCUCCAGCUGGUAAUUUUUGGAGACUCCAUAAUGAAGGUUUUUUAUUUUCUGUUUUUGCUAUGAAAUCAUUGUUCCUUAAAUUUCAAACUUAAAUUUUUCAUGUUUUCCUGUAUUAUUUCCUGGAGCUCACUUGAUAACUUUCUGCUGUGGAGGACUGAAGUCCAGACUUUUUGUUGUCAGUUUAAAUUGUGAUAAAAUACUUGCUUUCUAAUUUUAGUUUACCAAUUAGGUAUCAUCUAAAAGAGGAUGCAGAACAAUAACUGAAAGCCCCCUCCCCCCCAAAAAAGAAGUCUUAAAUGUAACAUUAACAGUUUCGGUAUAAUUUAACAUUUACUGAAAGAAAGCUUCUUUUUAUUUCACUGGUGGAGGGUCACAUUUAGCCAAAAUGAAGGAGUUUUGGCUAAUAAUCUCCUUUUUAUUUUAAAGAAAAGUGCUUUUAAUUGGCUGUAAAGACCAAACUACUUGGCAUAUAGAUGAAAAAUGAUUAUGCUUUACAAUAUCUUUUCAAAUAUACUAUCAUUUUCUAUUACUAAUUUCCAAAGUUUAUUGUUGUGCACAUAACCGAUAAUGCCUACUCAUAAUCAGUAGCACUUCUAAGUAUUUAUAUAGUUAAAUAAAAUACAGUAGUAAAACCUAAAUUUAAAUUGCCUGAUAAAAUACAUAAGAUAUACAGUAUGUAACUAUAGCAUUUAAAUCUUACAAUGAGUAGUUAAGUAGCUUGUGCCACCUCAAGGCUCCUAUUUCUGAAUGUUCUGUGUGAUAAAAUUACAGAGUUAUUCCCUUAAUCCAUGUUGUUAUGAAUAUUGGCUACUUUAUCAGCACAGAAUAGCUACUUAACUGAUCACCUGGGAAAAUAUGGAUCGAUAUAAUGACUCAGUUCACACAGCACACUAACUUAUGGUUUGCUUAGCCCAUCUGCCUGGUUUCAUGCAAUACACUGAAUCAUAAAUUCAUGACACACGCCUGGAUUUGCACAAUACAUAUUUCCUGGCAAUUUGUUUAAGCCCAGUCAGAAUUUACAAGGAAAGUAAUUUCAUAUAUGCAGCAGGACAUGGGAAUCAUGUUCAGGUUUACAAAGCCUUCUUUGUAAAGCAACACUUGGGAUGUCGGCACAAACUACCAAAGUCCUUCCACAGAUAGACACUGUUAGUAAUCGAACACAUCACACUUAUGAACACGUCCCAAUAUGGGCCACCUUUAUUUUUCUGUGAAGUUUGCUGAAUAUACUUGCAAAGGUAAAGUAAAGUAAAAAUAAAGUCUCCAAGGUGAAUUUGAUUUCUGAUUACUUCAUUGAUACAUCAUUCAGUUUUUUGUUUUGUUUUUUCUAUAUCGGUAGAGAAGUGGCUGACCGUUGCCUUCUGCCAGAGUGGUUUUUUUUUUUUACUUCCCAGUAUAGCCUACAAACCCAGGAUUUCUUAUUCAAAUAACAAUCAAUCCCAACCUUGCAUAGCUACAAUGCCCAGAUAAAGGCAGUCAAGUUCAGUUAUCUGCUCAAAUACACAAAUGCAAGUGGGUAGAAAAAAAUCUGUGCUAUUGGUCUCACCUAUGAAAAUCCAAUUUUCUAAACAUUACUGCAGUAGCAUGAGAAGGCUCCCCAUGACUGUAGUAACAGUUUUUAAGAUGCUCCCUGUUUUCAGGCAUUUAAUCUGUUUAUUUGUUUGCUACAGGUUACUGUUAAAGGGCUGCACACUAUUUGCACUAUAUUGUUAUCACUAUUCCAAAUUCGUUUUUUUUCAUGCAGAGGCCUUGCCUCGUUCAUGCAUUUUAAUAGGGAGUCCAGAUAACAUCACCAUGCUUGUCUAUUGCCUGUUUUGUUCAGGAAAAUUAACAAGAAAAAGAUGGAAAACAGAGAUUUUUUUGAUUGCUAAUAUCAAGAGAUGUCUGCCUAAAAGCUGCAAUACUUUCAGUUUGAGAACUCUGUUGUCUGUUUAUUUUAAAGAUAGAGGAUUAGAUACAGAUUUGUCAUGAGUGUAGACUCGGUUUGCAUUUAGUGCUGUCAUUUUGCUGAUGGAAUAACAUCUGACAGUAGAAUGUAUUCUUCCUCCUUGUUCUGCCCCCCAAAUGGAUUCUCCUUGCUCCUUCCUUUAAAUAGAUUUCAGAGCAGAUUUAAGGAGAAGACCACAGAGAUAGGAUAAGGAACAUGAGUCACCCAAAUUCCCGUUAAUUUCUAUGGAUCUAUAAUAAAGUCAAGAUCCAGCAUGUAAUUUUUAAAAUCUAAAUAAUUGGUAACAGACAAAAAUGCUUGCCGAUGAAGCAAUAGUAUUUAGGAGCAAAGUUGGUGGGAAUGGAGUAAGUGAAAAUCUUGGUGUUUUUUUGGGGGGGGGGGAACCAUAGUUUAAAUUCAUUUCAUUUCUGGUGCUAUUUGCAAUUAAUGCAGCCCUUUUCCUGGCAUAGAACUGGAUAUAGCAAACCUAAUUCAUACUACUAAGUUGUAUUCAUCAGAGACUCAGAGCCUUGAAUUGGGCCCAUUGUCAUGAAUAUUUAGCUAACAUAGUCAAUGGUUGAUCCACAAAAGGUUAUGUAUACAUCUUUACAUUUAUAAUUAUGCAUUGCAUCAUUGAAAUAUAUUACCACAUUAUGAAAGUUUUUGAUGUAAGAAAAGAGGUGGAAUUAUUAAUAUCUAUACAAAUAUUUUAAUCCAAACAGAAUCAGGCUGCAACAAACUACUAAUAGCAGUUUAGGGUUUAAGUGCUUAGGGUUGGUAUGAAACCCGCAUCCUUCCAGCAAACUGUAGGCACUUUAAUGAUACUUGGGACACUAUAAAACUUCUGAUAUGCUCAUUGCAACUUCCUGACUGUAAUUACAUAAGGAGAUAACAAACAAGCCAUGUGUCAGACCAAGGAUCCAGGGAUAAAAUAACUUGAAGGCAAUUGAAUAUAUUUAAUAAUUAAUAAAGUCUAUCAUUACCAAACAAAAUAGCCUAGAAUUCAUUUGUCUUGAUAAAAGAAUCUUCCCUUUGAUAUAGUUAAUAAAUAAAAUAAUGUGAUAAAUUAGAAUUACAAAUAGACAGGAUUUUUGUUUUCCAAAACACAAUAUAGUAUUGUUAGUUACAUGUACUUACUAGACCAGAAUGACAUUAGCAGGAUUGUAACCACAGACAUCCACAAAGGGACUAGGAGGGACAAAGCACAAGAACUGCAUUAUUUUAUGAUGCAAAUUAUUUAACUUACUUACUUGUAUUUAUUUCUAAGUUCUUUGCACAAUGACAUCAUGAUAUGUCACCACAUAUUGAUGUCAUUGCAGCUUGUAAGAGAUGCCACUGAUUGAUUGUAGACCUUUUGUUUUCUCCAAAGAACUCAUCUUUUUUCCAAGUAAUAAACAACCAUUUGCAAAUGAAUAAUA